rnacentral:rRNA from 1 species
AGUGAACGCUGGCGGUAGGCCUAACACAUGCAAGUCGAACGGCAGCACAGUAAGAGCUUGCUCUUACGGGUGGCGAGUGGCGGACGGGUGAGGAAUACAUCGGAAUCUACUUUUUCGUGGGGGAUAACGUAGGGAAACUUACGCUAAUACCGCAUACGACCUACGGGUGAAAGCAGGGGAUCUUCGGACCUUGCGCGAUUGAAUGAGCCGAUGUCGGAUUAGCUAGUUGGCGGGGUAAAGGCCCACCAAGGCGACGAUCAGUAGCUGGUCUGAGAGGAUGAUCAGCCACACUGGAACUGAGACACGGUCCAGACUCCUACGGGAGGCAGCAGUGGGGAAUAUUGGACAAUGGGCGAAAGCCUGAUCCAGCCAUACCGCGUGGGUGAAGAAGGCCUUCGGGUUGUAAAGCCCUUUUGUUGGGAAAGAAAAGCAGCAGGUUAAUACCCCGCUGUUCUGACGGUACCCAAAGAAUAAGCACCGGCUAACUUCGUG